rnacentral:lncRNA from 1 species
UUUCAUAAUAAACUUUAGGAAAUACACAUAUUCUGCUUUUCGAACUUAAAAUAACCGCAACAACAUAGUUUACCAAAUAUUAAGUUAUUUUUUCAAUUAAUAACUUAUUUUAUCCGCAUAACAAAAACAACUUAUUUUAUUAACUGCCUCGAUCUCAAAUUCGCCCUAAACUUAUAAGACAAAAAAUCGUUCACAUCUCAUGUAGCAAAAGGAAGAGCCCCCAUUCAGAGCAGCAUUCCCACAAGCGCAGAUCGGCAAACCGAGAGCCGAAUUUGGCUCACAUAUCAGCUACUUUGUUUCCUUUCCUAAAAAAUCUGAGAAAAACAAACCAUGAAAACUAAUUCUCGUUGAUGGAAAUUUUUAAGUUAUUUAGUAGACACUCUUCAAAAGAAAAAAAAAAUAAUAGCAAAAUAAAACAAAAAGGAAAAGAAAUUUGGUAAAUCCAUCAUACAUUUGCAUUUUCACCAAAACUAGAAAAACUUAAAUUUACUUCAAUUUUUUUAAUCUUAAUUAUUUUUAUUUUUUUAAUCUUAAUUAUAUAAAGUCAUUUACCUAACACUUGUCAAAGUAGAAAAUUUUGGCAGGCUUUUAAAUUUGAUAAAGAAACAAAUUCCCAGAUGUCAGUUUGGGUAAAGCAAUGAAACUCGAGCUCAAUUAUUUUCCUUUUCGAAAGUGCCCUAAAAUUUUUAUAACAUUUGUAUUGUGUAGAUGCACAAGUUAUGAUUUGUUGAUUAUGAAAGAAUCUUUAAUCUCACGUUCUAAAACGAUUCGGAUAACAUCAUCAUCAUACACUAAUGAUCACUUGAUUAGCCGGCCAAAAAAAUACUUUAAAAUAAUUGAUAGAGAAACACAAACUUUAAGCUUUAGGUGUUUGUCUUGGAUUUAAUGCUUUAACUUUACAAGGAUGGUGGGGAAGAAGAAAAAAAACAAUGGUAAAAAUUUUGAAAUUUUGGCCUCAAUAAAUGGGAGGGGAAGCACGCUUUGUUGCUCACCCAUGCCCCCAUAAUGUUAACACACGGCUCACAACAAUCACUUUCUUGUCAAAUGUGGCAAAGCUACGGAAAUGAAACAAUGCGGUUUAAAUGCAGUCACAGGACUCUUGUUGCGGUUGCUUUUUGUGUGCAAGUAAAAACUUUUGGUGCCUAUCAUAAAUGUAAAAUUAAUUUCUCACCACUUCUCUCUUUUUUUCUUUUUUCUUCCCCCCUUUCUUUCGGCGGUUCGCAUAAAUAAGAAUCAUAAUGGCCUGAUUCAAUAAGUUUGAAUUUCAAAUUCUUUUACUGAAAAUAUAUAGAUUCAUUUCGUAGUAGGCGUAAUAGCCAUAGCCGAGUGAUGAGCAGUAGUAGUUUGAGUCCUCAUAUUUAUAAUAUGAAGAUUUAGUUUCUCUCUCAAUUAAAAAGUAAUUGAGUGGAUACAAUUUAUAAUUUUUUUUUUAUGAAAUGUGAGUAGAGUAAAA